CCCACGUGUGCAGGCAGCCUUUGGAUGCCAGACAGACAAGAACAUCAGUUUUUUGCUAGAGCUUCCAGGAAAAGAACAGCUUAGCCAACACCUUGGCUUUAACCGAGUGAGACCUGAAGAACUGUAAGGGCUCCCACUUGUCAGGUCCACACCUCCAGGAAUAAAAGGGACCCAACCAAGCCUGGUGUUCUUGCCUGAUCUUGGGAACCAUUGGAUCACAAGCCCUGCUUUUCAAGCCCUGGGAACAUAAUAUCUUUCAGUAGGAAGUCUGCUGAGGAGUGGCCAAGAGGGAGCAGUAAGACCCUGAGCCCACCUCUUCCCACAGGCAUACUAAAAUUACAACGAUGUACAGAGUAACUACUGAUGAGAAAGACUUGCAGAAAAGAUCUUCUUCAACUAAAGAUAUAAAGAAGAAACCAUAAGGAAACAGGUCAACAUCUUCUCUGAGACACCUUGGACCCUUCAUCCAGCAGCCCCAGGAUAUGACCCUACCUACCAGUGGGUCAAUACCAGCUCUAGGACCUUCAGGACCCUGUAACAAGAGACCCCCGAACCUGGCUCUAC